rnacentral:rRNA from 1 species
GACGAACGCUGGCGGCGUGCUUAACACAUGCAAGUCGAACGGUAAGGCCCUUCGGGGUACACGAGUGGCGAGCGGGUGAGUAACACGUGGGUGAUCUGCCCUGCACUUCGGGAUAAGCCUGGGAAACUGGGUCUAAUACCGGACAGGACCACUGCCUGCAUGGGUGGUGGUGGAAAGCUUUUGCGGUGUGGGAUGGGCCCGCGGCCUAUCAGCUUGGUGGUGGGGUGAUGGCCUACCAAGGCGACGACGGGUAGCCGGCCUGCGAGGGUGACCGGCCACACUGGGACUGAGAUACGGCCCAGACUCCUACGGGAGGCAGCAGUGGGGAAUAUUGCACAAUGGGCGCAAGCCUGAUGCAGCGACGCCGCGUGAGGGAUGACGGCCUUCGGGUUGUAAACCUCUUUCAGCACCGACGAAGCGCAAGUGACGGUAGGUGCAGAAGAAGGACCGGCCAACUACGUGCCAGCAGCCGCCGCAG